UUUAAUCCAUUUUCAUCCUAAUUGUUAAUUUUAAUUAUGGUUUAUGAUACAAAAUUCGGGCUAAUUUCAAAGUAACAAAACUGAGUUCUAUUUUAAUUUGUGUUCAACCAGUGAUUUACAGUUCUUAUUGGUUUUAUUCAAUUCACAGUCUUCGGCAUUUUGUCUCAACAAACAAGUGUUUUGUCAAUUUUUCUUGGCUCCAAUUUUUUUACAUUUCACUUUCAAUCAAUUCGGUUUUUUACAUUUCCAAUGUAAUUGAAUUCUGAUGAUUUAGUAAUUGUAUCUUUACAAGUCAAUAGUUGUGUUCAACUUUGCUUGUUUACCUUUCAUGUUAUAAGAUGGCGGUAAUGCUGUUGAGGCAAUCUGUUGGUUCAACAAGUAUGUUUUGCUGUUUAAAUUGACUUCAACAAGUGGUUAUUAUUUCGCUAUAAUUAUUGAUUUAUCUCUCAUAAUUCAUUAUGAAUAACUGCUAUUAUAUAUGAUGCUCUAUAAUGAAUCUGAAAGUAGAUCUUUUGAUUCGAUUGAAGUGAUUAAAGUGGAGAAGUAUGGUAACCAAAAAAAUGUUUGCUGUGUAACACUGGUUACGGCUAACAAUUGAAAUGGAUUAUUCGUUAUUCAUUUAUAGAGAGGGUGAGAGUGGAAAUAAUAUUACCAAAGAUGACAGGUAUUAUUACUGGAGGAGAAAAAACUAGGUUGAUAUAAAGAUAAUCAAUGGUUUUUACAAGCAAUGAGGUAAACUUUUAACCCUGACCAACACUCUUCAGUUUCAAUAAUCAGGAGUUGCAGGGAAAUUUGGUGGUGAAAAUGUCUGAAUAUUUAACAUUGUUCACCAAAAAGCGUAUCAAUAACAAUCAAAUGGUUCAUCUUUUUUCAAUCCUUUUCAAGCUUCACCAUUAUCAUUGGCAAACAUUGGGAAAAUGUAAUCUUUUUUUUCCUUCUCCUACAUUUUAAUCUUCAAAUUGUGGUAGAUUGGCUGUUAAAUCAUCUUUGUAAACAUUACCGUUAAAGCCAUGAAACUCAUUUGCAUACUCAUUUGAUUAUACAUGGUUAACAAAAUCUCUAAUUGCAAUGAAUUAAUAAUGUAAACAUGGAGCAGAGCAUAGAUUGAAAAUCAGUUGGUGAAGGCAACAAAGAAACAAUAAGGAAAGGAAUGAAAAAGCCAUUUGUGAUUGUAAUUGAACCAAUUAUCGCGAAAAUUGUCUAAACUCACCUCUAAUUGCAACCCAAAAUGAUGAUUGCUAAGGUUUAACCAUAAAUUACAAUUCACAUUAUACAAAGGAAGGCAAAUUUACAAAAAUUGAAAUAGUUUCCAUUAAAUCCAUUGAAUUGAAUCCAAAUGAAUCUUAAUGAUGAUAACUGCCAUCAUGAUUCUCAAUACCAGACAAAAAGGGAAACUUAUCUUUUUAAAGAUAAAUUUUGAACCCAACCUGGUUUUCCUAUUGAUUUAUAGUUGGGCCAUUAAUAUAUUACCAAAAGGCAAAGCAAACAAUUUAAAGUUUACCGUAAAUCAUUGAGUUAAUACUGCAAGUUUUAACUUUAAUUGUAAUCCAAUGUAAUCUGAAGCAGUAGACAAAAAAGAGUAGAGAGAAAAUGUAAAAAUAAAAUGAAUGAAAGAUUGAACUCAAUAAAUUGUAAACUUUUAAUUAGUCUCAUGAGAUGUAAAAAUAUUAAUGGUGAACAAGAAGGAAAGAAGAAGCAGAAAAACAAAGAAACAAAUUUGGUAAUAAAAGGUAAAGAUACCUGUGUGCAAGUGUUAUAACAUGAAAAGAGUUGAAAGAAAGUGUUUAAACAAGGAAUUAAACCUUUCAAUUUAAUUUGGGAAAAAAUUGUUGAAGCUCAAAAAAGCAAGGUAAAUGAACAUGAUGAACCAGAAAAGUAACCAGAAAAUGAUGUUGAUAAUGAUAUUCUUUGUUUCAUCUUUAUUCAUUCCCUGAUUCCAUUGUUGAUGGGAAAAUGUGCAAAGCUAAACAAUAAUCUGAAUUCAGUAAAUCCAGUUGUUGGUAGCAAAAAAGAAGCCGUAAUCCUCAAUAUAUUAGAGUAAAUUUGAAAGGCAAGAAAAUGCUGAGAUGAAUAGAGUAAAGAGAGAGAGAAAAAGAAGAAGAAGAAGAUAAAAGUGCGAAGAUGAAUUCUGUUGUUUCUCAGGUAACCAAACAAAUGACUAUUACAAGAAGUAACAUUUCAAAGGUAAACUCACCUUGUUUCGCCUUAUUGUUAAAGUCUAGGCAAUCAAUGAAGACUGACAGUUCCCUGAUGAUUUAGCUUGAGCAGAAAAAAAUGAUCAUCUUGUUGAUGAAAAAAAAGAAAGAAGUGAAAUCUUUUUAUCUUCAUCUUUUUGUCGACUUUUGUUGAUUGCGAACCAAAGAAAAAGGGAAACAAAACUGUUCAAAUCACAGUUUUCUCGUGUUCCAAUCCCUGCAAUCCUUUCUCACCAUCAUCAUCAUCUUUUCAUUUUUGAUCAUCUUGCUUUCCAAAUCUUUAUUCAAACCUUUUUACUUUACCUUUAAACAAAUAAAAUGAAAACAAAAUUUCAUUCCAAUGAGAUUUUGUUCAUUUUUUCUCCUCAUUCUUGGUGUGCAACUAUUUGUUAUUAACUUUCUUUCCUAUUAUUUUCUUGUGUUCAUUUCUUUUUAUCCGAAACAAUCAGGGGAAUCGAAAUGUUUGAUUUUCAUUUUAAUGGACUUUUUAAGUAACAAAAAGGUCUAAAUGUUAUUGAAUGGAAGCAAAAAUAUCCAAAGAUACAGAUGUAAUACAAAGAAGAAGUAAUAAAAAGCAAAGAACCAGAAAAGUAAAGUAAAAAAUGUUCAAGUUAACCCAAUUUAAGUUAACCCAAUGUAAUAGGGUUAACAGGUUGGCUAAUUUAUACGGAAAUAAGUCAGUCAUUUAUCUCAAUUGAUUUAACCAGUUUAGCUUGUAACAAUAAAAGUAAACAUUUAAAAUUAAA